rnacentral:rRNA from 1 species
AGAGUUUGAUCAUGGCUCAGGACUAACGCUGGCGGCGCGCCUAACACAUGCAAGUCGCACGAGAAACUUCGUAGCAAUACGGGGCGGUAAAGUGGCGAACGGGUGAGUAAUGCAUGGGUGACCUGUCCUCAAGAUGGGAAUAACCUCGCGAAAGCGGGGCUAAUACCCAAUGCCAUUUCGGUCUUACGGGAUCGGGAUGAAAGAUAGCUGUUACAGGCUUUUACUUGAGGAGGGGCCCAUGUCCCAUCAGCUAGUUGGUAGGGUAACGGCCUACCAAGGCUAUGACGGGUAGCUGGUCUGAGAGGACGACCAGCCACACUGGCACUGAGACACGGGCCAGACUCCUACGGGAGGCAGCAGUGAGGAAUCUUGCGCAAUGGACGAAAGUCUGACGCAGCGACGCCGCGUGGGGGAUGAAGGCCUUCGGGUCGUAAACCCCUUUUGGUGGGAAAGAAACGCUCAGAUGUUAACAGCGUCUGGGUUUGACGGUACCCACAGAAAAAGCCACGGCUAACUCUGUGCCAGCAGCCGCGGUAAGACAGAGGUGGCAAGCGUUGUCCGGAAUUACUGGGCGUAAAGAGCGCGUAGGUGGCUAGAUAAGUCCGGUGUGAAAUCCUUCGGCUUAACCGAGGAAUGGCAUCGGGGACUGUAUAGCUAGAGGACGGGAGAGGAGAGCGGAAUUCCCGGUGUAGCGGUGAAAUGCGUAGAGAUCGGGAGGAAGGCCGGUGGCGAAGGCGGCUCUCUGGAACGUCCCUGACGCUGAGGCGCGAAAGCGUGGGGAGCAAACAGGAUUAGAUACCCUAGUAGUCC